CCACCUUGGGCACCCUUAGGGGCAGCCUGAUUUGUGCCCCCCUCAGGAGGUCCUUGUGGGGCCACCCUCGGUGACCCAAUCUGGGUCACAACGAUGUGGCCGGGUGGUGGUUAUAUGACCAGAGGUGGCCGUGCGCCACCGAUAUCUAAUAUAUAUGUAUAUAUUUUAUAGACACAAUAGAAGUCAAUGACUCACAAGGAACAUGCUCUUUAUUCUAAAAUAAGUUUUUUAAUUAGUAUUAUCUGGUUUAGGUUUCUUCUUAGUUAAAGACUUUUUUUUAUUUCUACUAUUUUUGAAAAACUUUCAUUAUUUAAUUUUUAUUUUUGUUUUUCAGUUUUUACAAUUUUCUGGAGUCUUUGAUAAUUUUGUUCAUUAUUUUUUAUAUUUUAUAGAUAAUAUUUGUCAAGUAGCACAUAUCAAUUACUCCUUGGUGCUGAUGUGGGAUCUCCAACAGUUCACUAACGAAAUACUGACGGAGAGACCAAUUUGAUCAAACUUACAACCACAUAAAGCACCCACAGGUCAUGAAUAGACACCAACAGUUCUUGCAAUGAAUUCUGCAAUUUUGCAACCUCCUGUGCCUUCGCUUCCUCUAGGUAAAAUCAACUACAAUAGCCACUGAGAUCACAGAACCAAAGUACCUUAAAACGAGAACCGAUUGAAGAAAACUUGGAAGAUUUAGUCGUCUCUUCUGGAAGUGGAGGGAAAAGGCCUGCUACAAAAGGACAUUUGGA